CUCUUAUUCAGAGUGGUGGAGGUACAUAGGACCUGUGAAGCCACGGCAACCCCUUGAUCAUAUCAGGAAGGUGCCAACCUGAGCGUGCAACUCCAGUAUUGGAAAACGAGCAAUAAGAG
rnacentral:ncRNA from 1 species